AGCGUUGUUCGGAAUUACUGGGCGUAAAGCGCACGUAGGCGGAUUGUUAAGUCGGGGGUGAAAUCCUGGAGCUCAACUCCAGAACUGCCUUCGAUACUGGCGAUCUAGAGUCCGGGAGAGGUGAGUGGAACUGCGAGUGUAGAGGUGAAAUUCGUAGAUAUUCGCAAGAACACCAGUGGCGAAGGCGGCUCACUGGCCCGGUACUGACGCUGAGGUGCGAAAGCGUGGGGAGCAAACAGG
rnacentral:rRNA from 1 species